GAUGAACGCUGGCGGCGUGCUUAACACAUGCCAGUCGAACGGAAAGGCCGAAGCUUGCUUCGGUACUCGAGUGGCGAACGGGUGAGUAACACGUGGGUGAUCUGCCCUGUACUUCGGGAUAAGCUUGGGAAACUGGGUCUAAUACCGGAUAUGACGAUCUCUUGGAUGGGGUUGUGGAAAGCUUUUGCGGUAUGGGAUGAGCUCGCGGCCUAUCAGCUUGUUGGUGGGGUAAUGGCCUACCAAGGCGUCGACGGGUAGCCGGCCUGAGAGGGUGUACGGCCACAUUGGGACUGAGAUACGGCCCAGACUCCUACGGGAGGCAGCAGUGGGGAAUAUUGCACAAUGGGCGCAAGCCUGAUGCAGCGACGCCGCGUGGGGGAUGACGGCCUUCGGGUUGUAAACUCCUGUCGCAAUCGACGAAGCCUUUUGGUGACGGUAGGUUGAGAAGAAGCACCGGCUAACUACGUG
rnacentral:rRNA from 1 species